rnacentral:tmRNA from 1 species
GGGGGUGACAUGGCUUCGACGGGAGCAGUCUGUCACAGGCUGCGUGCCGGCUUGAGGAACGCCGUAAAAAUUCCUCAAAAAAAUAGACGCAAACAAUACAGAUUAUAGACCGGCUUACGCAGUAGCAGCGUAAGUUUAACAAACUUACGGUCCCUCGCACCUCUCUUUGCCCUCUAAGAGAGGAUUUUGCGGGGUCAUCCUCUAGAGGGCUUGGAUGAGCGGUUGCCUAGCCGCUCAUCGACACCUUUAGGCUGGGUUGAUACAGGUUUCGGGCGCUGAACCUGUAUCAACCGAGAUUGAUCAGCGCUACUACGCACGUAGAGGCCUGUGGUGGGUUGUUUCCGGACUCGGGUUCGAUUCCCGACACCUCCACCA